rnacentral:tRNA from 1 species
AGUGGCUUAGUUAAAAUAUAAUACUGGUCUGUCAGUCCAAAAUUGUGGACAUCAACUCCACAGCCCCUU